UACGAAGGGUGCAAGCGUUACUCGGAAUUACUGGGCGUAAAGCGUGCGUAGGUGGUCUGUUAAGUCUGAUGUGAAAGCCCUGGGCUCAACCUGGGAAUGGCAUUGGAUACUGGCAGGCUAGAGUGCGGUAGAGGAUGGCGGAAUUCCCGGUGUAGCAGUGAAAUGCGUAGAGAUCGGGAGGAACAUCUGUGGCGAAGGCGGCCAUCUGGACCAGCACUGACACUGAGGCACGAAGGCCAGGGGAGCAAACGGG
rnacentral:rRNA from 1 species